rnacentral:rRNA from 1 species
CAGUCGCCGCGGUAAUACGUAGGGUGCAAGCGUUAAUCGGAAUUACUGGGCGUAAAGCGCACGCAGGCGGUCUGUCAAGUCAGAUGUGAAAUCCCCGGGCUUAACCUGGGAACUGCAUUUGAAACUGGCAGGCUAGAGUCUUGUAGAGGGGGGUAGAAUUCCAGGUGUAGCGGUGAAAUGCGUAGAGAUCUGGAGGAAUACCGGUGGCGAAGGCGGCCCCCUGGACAAAGACUGACGCUCAGGUGCGAAAGCGUGGGGAGCAAACAGGAUUAGAUACCCCAGUAGUCCCUGUCUCUUAUAA